rnacentral:rRNA from 1 species
GAAACGACUGCUAAGACUGGAUAGGAGACAAGAAGGCAUCUUCUUCGUUUUUAAAAGACCUAGCAAUAGGUAUGCUUAGGGAGGAGCUUGCGUCACAUUAGUUAGUUGGUGGGGUAAAGGCCUACCAAGACUAUGAUGUGUAGCCGGGCUGAGAGGUUGAACGGCCACAUUGGGACUGAGACACGGCCCAAACUCCUACGGGAGGCAGCAGUAGGGAAUUUUCGGCAAUGGAGGAAACUCUGACCGAGCAACGCCGCGUGAACGAUGAAGUAUUUCGGUACGUAAAGUUCUUUUAUUAGGGAAGAAUAAAUGAUGGAAAAAUCAUUCUGACGGUACCUAAUGAAUAAGCCCCGGCUAACUAUGUGCCAGCAGCCGCGGUAAUACAUAGGGGGCAAGCGUUAUCCGGAAUUAUUGGGCGUAAAGGGUGCGUAGGCGGUUAAAUAAGUUUAUGGUCUAAGUGCAAUGCUCAACAUUGUGAUGCUAUAAAAACUGUUUAGCUAGAGUAAGAUAGAGGCAAGUGGAAUUCCAUGUGUAGUGGUAAAAUGCGUAAAUAUAUGGAGGAACACCAGUAGCGAAGGCGGCUUGCUGGGUCUUUACUGACGCUGAGGCACGAAAGCGUGGGGAGCAAACAGGAUUAGAUACCCUGGUAGUCCACGCCGUAAACGAUGAGUACUAAACGUUGGUUAAAACCAGUGUUGAAGUUAACACAUUAAGUACUCCGCCUGAGUAGUACGUACGCAAGUAUGAAACUUAAAGGAAUUGACGGGACUCCGCACAAGCGGUGGAUCAUGUUGUUUAAUUCGAAGGUACCCGAAAAACCUCACCAGGUCUUGACAUGCUUCUGCAAAGCUGUAGAAACACAGUGGAGGUUAUCAGUUGCACAGGUGGUGCAUGGUUGUCGUCAGCUCGUGUCGUGAGAUGUUGGGUUAAGUCCCGCAACGAGCGCAACCCUUAUUGUUAGUUACCAGCACGUAAUGGUGGGGACUUUAGCAAGACUGCCAGUGAUAAAUUGGAGGAAGGUGGGGACGACGUCAAAUCAUCAUGCCCCUUAUGACCUGGGCUACAAACGUGAUACAAUGGCUGUUACAAAGGGUAGCUGAAGCGCAAGUUUUUGGCGAAUCUCAAAAAAACAGUCUCAGUUCGGAUUGAAGUCUGCAACUCGACUUCAUGAAGUUGGAAUCGCUAGUAAUCGCGAAUCAGCAUGUCGCGGUGAAUACGUUCUCGGGGUUUGUACACACCGCCCGUCA